AGUGAACGCUGGCGGUAGGCCUAACACAUGCAAGUCGAACGGCAGCACAGUAAGAGCUUGCUCGGACGGGUGGCGAGUGGCGGACGGGUGGGGAAUACAGCGGAAUCUACUUUUUCGUGGGGGAUAACGGAGUGAAACUGAGGCUAAUACCGCAUACGACCUACGGGUGAAAUCAGGGGAUCUUCGGACCUUGCGCGAUUGAAGGAGCCGAUGUCGGAUUAGCUAGUUGGCGGGGUAAAGGCCCACCAAGGCGACGAUCCGUAGCUGGUCUGAGAGGAUGAUCCGCCACACUAGAACUGAGACACGGUCCAGACUCCUACGGGAGGCAGCAGUGGGGAAUAUUGGACCAUGGGCGCAAGCCUGCUCCAGCCAUACCGCGUGGGUGAAGAAGGCCUUCGGGUUGUAAAGCCCUUUUGUUGGGAAAGAAAAGCAGCAGGUUAAUACCCCGCUGUUCUGACGGUACCCAAAGAAUAAGCACCGGCUAACUUCGUG
rnacentral:rRNA from 1 species